ensembl:lncRNA
GCGUGCAGUUGCUCACGCUGGCGUGUAUCAGCGCCGAGCGAUAUCAAGCCAUUGCACAUCCGUUUAAAAAUGCCGAGCGCCGAAAACGGAUAGCGGUGUGGAUUGCGUUGACAUGGCUGCUUCCCAUCUCCAUAUCGGUCAUUUGCGUGAUUUUUGCGAAAGACUCGCCGGUGUACGUCAGAUGCAGAAGUUUGCGCAUGGACACGUUAGACUCGUACGACACGUUUGGAGUUUACAUUCUGACCCCCAUCUGGUGCGUUUGUUUGACGGUCAUCAUUGGAUUCUACGGCCGUAUUUUCCUUUUAGUCAGAGCGCACGGUCGGAAAAUAUUCGAUAAGGGUUCGCUUCCACCAGCAAAUAAGAAGAAAGAGGAUACAAAACCCAAAAAUGAAGAAAAGACUGAUAUUAAACAUGAUGCAGAAAACCAACAAACAUUAGAUAAUGAUCAUUUAAAACCGAAUGAAAAAGAGUCAUGUGAAGAGAAUCCACUGGAUUUGCAUCCAGCAUCUGAGGAACUUUCCACUCCAUUUGGCACUGACUCCUUGGAUAUAAACAAACCAGAGCUUGCCACUGAAAUAUCAAGAGAAACCAAAGUCAUCUUUAUAGAUGAACAUUCUAACAAAGCACCACAGGUUCUAGAAGUUCUUGGGGAGCCAAACAACCACCAACCUACUUCUGAAGAAAGUUCUUCCCCUUUAACUAAUGAAGAAGAUUGUGCGAUGGAGUCAAGCACUCACCAAUCAACCAGUGAGGAGGGUGGCGUUGUGCCAAAUGUCCAGCAAGAAAGUUCUCAGUCAUCAGCAAAAGGAGAAGAUGGAGACCAACUAGAUUAUACUUUAGAAACUCUUCCUCCUCCAGCUUCUGAAGAAGAUGGUACUGUUACGUCAAGCCCUUCACAAGAUACCACUGAAGAAACUUCUCCAACAUCAGGAGAAAAUGGAGAUAAAGGUGCUGAUAAGCAAUGUGUUCCUCAAGAAACUGCUGCAGAAACUUCUCCAGCAUCGACCGGAGAAGCCACAGCUGCUCCACAGGAGGAGGAGGAGAAGGAGGAGGUGGCGGGUGCCGUCUGUAUGAUGCCUUCUCUCGCCCAAAGAGAACGAGGAAACACCAAGAAGGAGAGCAAACUGGCCAAGCGCUCCGGAUACAUCAUCUUCACCUUCCUCAUAUUUUGGAUCCCGCUGAUAGCGACAGUGGUUUUAAAUCACUUCUUUUACCAAAACGACAAUCUAACAGUGGAGGUUUUCCGGGAGCUGGAGGUUUUAACAGUGUCUUUGGUCUGCAUGACAUCCCUCACCAACCCGAUCAUCUACGCUGCGGUUAACCCUCAGUUCCGCACAGAGUUUCACAAUCUGAAGACAAAAUGGAAAGAUUUUUGUACACUUUCAUAGAGUUUAUAUGUACUUCUCGGGUUGUUGGAGCUGAGAUCCAGCUAUGCCAAACACUACAUCAAGGGUCUGUUUCAUAAAACAAGUUUAAACCAGGUUUAUUUCAAUUAGUCUGACUUAUUGUCAAUUGAUUUGGUUCAAAAUAAGUCAGACUAACUGAAAUAAGCCUGGCUUAUUUGGCAAACUUGUUUUAUGAAUCAGGCCCCAGGUGAAAUGAAAUGUCACGUCUGAAUUUAUGGCUGACAUUAAUGUUUUUUUUAUUAUAUUUCUAUGUAUUUCAGUAGCUGUGCGGUGAGAGACGUUUGGAGCUGAGGCCUGUUGCAUCAAAGAUUUAGACUAGUCUUACAAGUUAGUCAUCUAAAUUUUUACUUUAAGAUUGGUCUUUAAAAUUCUGUUACAUAAAAACGUAGAUUAGUCUGAGUUGAAUCCAAACGAUGAAACUGAUUACUCCUUGGCUAACGGUUAGUUG